CGCACAGAGGACCAUGAAAGCAUUGCACACCGAUACUGUGCCAAAGCUUACUUCUUGAAGUCUUCCAACGCUGAUAUAAACAGUUUGCUGGGUGGCAGUCAGAUGUCGGCUCACAGAGAACAGGUCUGAAUGAGACAGCAGGUGUUGUGAAAGUUCUAGGGAAGAGGGGGCUUAGAUACUGGCAGGUGGAGAAUGAGGCGGCAUAUAAACUUGAAGACAACGGCAUAGGUCAUGGCAAUUUUUAAAGCUCAUACUUUCACUGGGAAAGUAUGAUGUCUGCUUUAAAGAGCAUCUUAGUAGUUGCAUUUGGAUGAGCAAAAGAUUGCAUCAGUCUGGUGGGAAAAGAAGCAUAGGUUCUCUCAUCACCCCACUCUCAAAAACUACAGUAAACUCAGUAAUAGAUACAAUAAGGCAUCUAAUUCUAAUUCAUACUCAAUCUGGUGCUGGCAGACACAACCCAGAUCGUCAUUGAAAGUGGGUUACUGUUUGCUCUCCAUAAUGAUAUCGUGAUGUUCAUCAAGGAGUCAUACCAACAAAUGAACCUGUGAGAAAAGUCAGGCCAUGAGACACAGAGACACAGACUCCAAUCAGUGAGACAUGCUGGUGGGCCAAGCACGAAGCCCUGAAGAAAAUGUUUGGCUCCUUUGGAAAACCUGAAGAUGGUCUACACGUUGAUGUACUGUUCACUCUGUCAGCCAUACAAGAACAGGCAACAGUGAAACCAAGUGUGCAUGUCAAAGCCAGGGGAUACGCAGAGGCCUUGCUCAGUUUGCCUCAUCCACCACACCUCUUGGGCCAAGAAGCCCUUUUUGACAAGACAUUUCACAGUCCAAAGCAGAGAGUCCUGUCCAGCCGUGACUGAAGAUGUUCCCCCAGACGCUCCAAGGAGACCGGAUGAGGUCGUUUAGUGACAAAUAGUACCAGUCCUAUAAAUGAUCGUCUAUGGAACACAAUCUACACACACAAUCCACACAGGACAUAGAAUUUCUACCCAUCUGUCACCACAACCUGAUUCA